rnacentral:rRNA from 1 species
ACGGGGUGCAGCAGGCGCGAAAACUUUACAAUGCGGGAAACCGUGAUAAGGGGACACCGAGUGCCAGCAUCAUAUGCUGGCUGUCCAGGUGUGUAAAAUACACCUGUUAGCAAGGGCCGGGCAAGACCGGUGCCAGCCGCCGCGGUAACACCGGCGGCCCGAGUGGUGAUCGUGAUUAUUGGGUCUAAAGGGUCCGUAGCCGGUUUGGUCAGUCCUCCGGGAAAUCUGAUAGCUCAACUAUUAGGCUUUCGGGGGAUACUGCCAGACUUGGAACCGGGAGAGGUAAGAGGUACUACAGGGG